CUCCCCUUUUCCUGGAGCCUCAGCCUCUGGUGAAACUGGACUUUCAAGUCUGUGCAGGUGAAGGUGUGUGAGAGCGCCCGAGAUGGCAGAACAAGAGCUACAGGGUACAAGCCCAAGGGACGAGCUGCGCGGUGAUUGGCUGCGGAGCUCCCUCAGGUGAGCUGCCAUUGGCAGAGGCGCACUCAGGUACUAUGUAGUUUACAGAUUUUCAGAUAGG